rnacentral:lncRNA from 1 species
GGGUCUUUUUUAGCGCCAUCUGCUCGCGGCGCCGCCUCCCGCUCCUCCCGCCGCCGCCGCCGCCGCCGCCGCCGCCGCCGCCGCCGCCGCCCUGAGUCACUGCCUGCGCAGCUCCGGCCGCUCGGCUCCGCGUCCGAGCCUCCUGGAACGAUAUUUGGAGUUCUUAAAAGAUGGCAGACAUUGACAACUUGCCUAAGGUAGUCAAAAGACGGGUGAAUGCUCUCAAGAAUCUUCAAGUUAAAUGUGCACAGAUAGAAGCCAAAUUCUAUGAGGAAGUUCAUGACCUUGAGAGAAAGUAUGCUGUUCUCUAUCAGCCUCUGUUUGAUAAGCGAUUUGAGAUCAUUAAUGCAAUUUAUGAACCUACAGAAGAAGAAUGUGAAUGGAAACCAGAUGAGGAAGAUGAAGUUUCGGAGGAGCUGAAAGAAAAGGCCAAGAUUGAAGAUGAGAAAAAGGAUGAAGAAAAAGAAGACCCUAAAGGAAUUCCUGAGUUUUGGUUGACAGUUUUUAAGAAUGUUGAUUUGCUCAGUGAUAUGGUUCAGGAACAUGACGAACCUAUUCUGAAGCACUUGAAAGAUAUUAAAGUGAAGUUUUCGGACGCUGGCCAGCCUAUGGUAAAAGAAGUUUUAAAUGCUUAGUUUUGUAGUAUGUUGUUAAAGAAACGUUUUAAACAUGGCAUUCAAGAGUUUUGCUGAAGUGUGGUAUUAAAGCUGGCACUGGGUACUCUUAAGUAUGUGCAUGUUUGGUUUUGGUGCUUGUGACUUUACACU